rnacentral:rRNA from 1 species
AGAGUUUGAUCCUGGCUCAGGACGAACGCUGGCGGCGUGCUUAACACAUGCAAGUCGAACGAUGAAGCCCUUCGGGGUGGAUUAGUGGCGAACGGGUGAGUAACACGUGGGCAAUCUGCCCUUCACUCUGGGACAAGCCCUGGAAACGGGGUCUAAUACCGGAUACCACCUCCUGAGGCAUCUCGGGGGGUUGAAAGCUCCGGCGGUGAAGGAUGAGCCCGCGGCCUAUCAGCUUGUUGGUGGGGUGAUGGCCUACCAAGGCGACGACGGGUAGCCGGCCUGAGAGGGCGACCGGCCACACUGGGACUGAGACACGGCCCAGACUCCUACGGGAGGCAGCAGUGGGGAAUAUUGCACAAUGGGCGAAAGCCUGAUGCAGCGACGCCGCGUGAGGGAUGACGGCCUUCGGGUUGUAAACCUCUUUCAGCAGGGAAGAAGCGAAAGUGACGGUACCUGCAGAAGAAGCGCCGGCUAACUACGUGCCAGCAGCCGCGGUAAUACGUAGGGCGCAAGCGUUGUCCGGAAUUAUUGGGCGUAAAGAGCUCGUAGGCGGCUUGUCACGUCGGUUGUGAAAGCCCGGGGCUUAACCCCGGGUCUGCAGUCGAUACGGGCUAGCUAGAGUGUGGUAGGGGAGAUCGGAAUUCCUGGUGUAGCGGUGAAAUGCGCAGAUAUCAGGAGGAACACCGGUGGCGAAGGCGGAUCUCUGGGCCAUUACUGACGCUGAGGAGCGAAAGCGUGGGGAGCGAACAGGAUUAGAUACCCUGGUAGUCCACGCCGUAAACGUUGGGAACUAGGUGUUGGCGACAUUCCACGUCGUCGGUGCCGCAGCUAACGCAUUAAGUUCCCCGCCUGGGGAGUACGGCCGCAAGGCUAAAACUCAAAGGAAUUGACGG